ACAUCGAUUUACAAGAUAGGGGAAGAACACCUAAUUUUUUUACAUGUAUAGAAUCUCGCGUCACGUGUAGUUUAAAAUUGGUCAAAGUUUUGUAUAAAUCACUUGCUAGCUAUUUUAUAGUUACUAAUAAGCAAAAUUUAACAGUUAUUUGUGUUUUACACUUUGAUAAAUAUACAGUAUCUAUUCGGAAAUCUAGUCGUAAAAAAAAUGGACACGAAGCAUAUGUCAAAAAAUUAUGAAAUUUAUGAUAGUUACUACACUGUAUAAAUAGUAAGUUUUUCUUAAUAAAAACAGUGAAUGCUGAAACAU
rnacentral:misc_RNA from 1 species